rnacentral:rRNA from 1 species
AAGGCUAAAUACUCCCUAGUGACCGAUAGUGAACCAGUACCGUGAGGGAAAGGUGAAAAGCACCCCGGAAGGGGAGUGAAAUAGAACCUGAAACCGUGUGCCUACAACAAGUCAAAGCCCGUUAAUGGGUGAUGGCGUGCCUUUUGUAGAAUGAACCGGCGAGUUACGAUUGCAUGCGAGGUUAAGUUGAAGAGACGGAGCCGCAGCGAAAGCGAGUCUGAAUAGGGCGUUUGAGUAUGUAGUCGUAGACCCGAAACCAUGUGAUCUACCCAUGUCCAGGUUGAAGGUGCGGUAAAACGCACUGGAGGACCGAACCCACGUACGUUGAAAAGUGCGGGGAUGAGGUGUGGGUAGCGGAGAAAUUCCAAACGAACUUGGAGAUAGCUGGUUCUCUCCGAAAUAGCUUUAGGGCUAGCCUCGGAAUUGAGAAUGAUGGAGGUAGAGCACUGUUUGGACUAGGGGCCCAUCUCGGGUUACCGAAUUCAGAUAAACUCCGAAUGCCAUUCAUUCAUAUCCGGGAGUCAGACUGUGAGUGAUAAGAUCCAUAGUCGAAAGGGAAACAGCCCAGACCACCAGCUAAGGUCCCAAAAUAUAUGUUAAGUGGAAAAGGAUGUGGGGUUGCACAGACAACUAGG